AAGCGCUUGCAGGUGCCAGAGCGUCAGACCUGGAGGGGGAUGGUAUGGCUCUCCCCGCUACUCAGGUGUGGAAACUGCAGCUCAGAGAGAUUAGGCUCCCGUUCCGAGUAAAUGACGGGGUUGGGAUUCGGUUCCUCCUCCUCAUUAGGCUAAAGUCUGUGCUCUUUUGCCACCAAAGUUGGGAGUUGGUCGAGGAAAGCGUGAGCAGUGAUAAGUGGGCUAAGCGGUCGAGAGCAGGCUUCACGGACGACGACCGGAUCUGGAGACAAGUCCUGGGUCUGCUACUAACACUGUGACGCUCUCAAUAAGUCAUUUUCCCCAUCCCGAGACUUCGUUUCCUCGUCUGUAAAGUGGGAAUGAUAACAUGUUAUAGGAUCACAAUGAGAAAACUAUGGAUUUAGACCUACAAAAGGUCACAGAAUGUGUAAGCCACAAUGUCAAGCAUCAAAGCCAUGUUUGUCCUGCAACAAGGCUCAAACUCUUUGACCUCACUGCCCGUUGCGAGAGAAGCCACCUGGGAAGACACCAUCCAACUGACACACUUCAUUCAUUCAAUCAAUGAAUUUAGAUUUGGCCUUCACUGGGAACCGGCUCGGCAGUCACCCAACUGUUUAAACCAAGAACCUAGGUGCCAAUCUUGAUGUCAUCCUCUCUCCAGGGUCCCUUUAUCCAAUCUGAUUCAUCAACAAAUCCUGUCAAUCAUCUUCAGGUAGAUGCAGAAUGAAACAUCUAGAAUACUUCCCUACUCACCACAGCUGCACCACUACCAAGCUGAAGUCCCUCACACUCGCUGAAGGGUCUCCAAUCCAUCCUCUGCCCUCAAAGCCUGCGGUCCUCACUGCUAAUCUUGGAAAAACAUGCAUGACGAUUGGCUCAAUCUAGAGACCCUGAGAUCCUGACCUGAGCCGAAAUCUAGAGUCGGAUGCUUAACCAACUCAAUCACUAAGUAGCACUGCUCUCUCUCUCUCUCUCUUUUUUUUUUUUAAAUUUGACAGAGAGAGAGAUCACAAGUGGGCAGAGAGGCAGGCAGAGAGAGUGGGGGAAGCAGGCUCCUUGCUGAGCAGAAAGCCCGAUGCGGGGCUCGAUCCCAGGACCCUGAGAUCAUGACCUGAGCAGAACGCAGAGGCUUAACCCACUGAGCCACCCAGGCAUCCCUCUACUAUUUUUUAAUUGAAAAUUCUAUGGAGUUAAUUGCAGACUCACACACAGUCAUAAGAAAAUGUAUAUUUUUCCCAGCUUUCCCCAGUGGAAAUGGUUUGCAAAAUUAUAGUAUUAUAUCACAUCAGGAUUCUAACAUUGAUACAUCCUCCUCAUUUUUGUCGAACUUAUUUGUAUGUGUAUGACUUCUACUUUUUGCAACUCUGUAAGUCUAAAAUUAUUCCAAAAUAAAAAGUUAAAGGGGUGCCUGGCAGACUCAGAUAAAGGAGCGCACAGCUCUUGGUUUCGGGCUGUGAGUUCAAGGUCCCCCUUGGGGGAAGAGCUUGCUAAAAUAAAUAAACUUAAAACAAUAAUAAAAAGUUAAAGAAAAAAGGUAGCUGAUGAAACGCCACAGCAGGGGAACCUACAUCAGACUUCUUCAAUCCCCUUUCCAGACCCACCCUCUGCCACCCUUCCGCCACACAACAAAUCCAAAGUCUUGUCUUUUCUUUUAUCUUUUCUUUUUUUUUUUUUUUAAGAUUUUAUUUAUUUACUUGACAGGCAGCACAAACAGAAGGAGCGCGGCAGGCAGAGGCAGAGGGAGAAGAAGGUUCCCUGCUGAGCAGGGAGCCUGCCAUAGUGCUCAAUCCCAGGAUCCCGGCAUCAUGACCUGAGCUGAAGGCAGACGCUUAACUGACUGAGUCACCCCAGUGCCCUCUGAAGUCUUUUCAACCACAGCCUCUUUUCCUUCCUUUCUCUCACUCUCUUGCUGUGCUUAGCAUACUGGCCUUCUUGCUGUUUCUCAAAGCAGCCAAGUCCUUUCUCAUGGCAAGAUCUCUGUUAGUUACCCAAUCGAGAAUUAGCGCUGCCCUUGGAGAUUCACAAGGCUGCCUCCUUCUCGUCCUUCUUCCGCUGGAAUGUAACUCCCCUAACUUCCGAACACCUUCUGUCAUUCUCUACCGAGUUACAUUUCAUACCACUUCAUGGUUGUUUGAUGUUAUACAUUUGUUUACUAAAUGUAAGCUCCACAAGAGUAUGUACACCCAGAGAUUAAACAGUGCCUGAAACAUAGCAGCCUUUGACAAACAUUUGUGAGACGAGUAACGAGACUGAUGAUAUCUGCUCCGUUCUAUUUGAUUGAAUUUGGUUCGAAACAAAGGCUGUUUAGAAGUUGCUGAUGCAGGGUGCCUGGGUGGCUCAGUCUGUUAACUGUCUGCCUUUGGCUCAGGUUAUGAUCUGGGGGUUCUGGGAUGGAGCCUUGCAUAAGGUUCCCUGCUCAGCAGGGA